GGCUGGAUCACCUCCUAACAGGGAGACAACAACUGAUCAUGAUGUCUGAGUGUUUUUAAUCUCAGGCCAUGAUCCUGUCAUCUCGAAGGUCGAUCGGUACCUCAAUUGACUGGCAGUUGCCAGUCAAAUCAGUUCCUAAACUUUGUCUAGGUCACCCCGUAGCUCCUGGGCCAUUAGCUCAGGUGGUUAGAGCGCACCCCUGAUAAGGGUGAGGUCCCUGGUUCAAGUCCAGGAUGGCCCAUUCACCGCCUGUGAAGCAGGCAGGACUUGAAAGCUGGGGGUUUAGCUCAGUUGGUAGAGCGCCUGCUUUGCAAGCAGGAUGUCAGCGGUUCGAGUCCGCUAACCUCCAUUCGAUCGAUGCGAAUGAUGCGAUCGAGCUCGAGCCAACGGUAACUCGCGAAGCGAACAGGAGUGAGAGCGAGGGUGAUUCUAGAUGGUUGCUGCUGAAGAUUUCAGCCUCCAAUGAUUCUAGUGAUAGCUAGCUCAUUGGAUGCUGAACUCAACAGCUCAAGCCUGUGAGGGUUUGAGAUUUGAUGUUCAGCGCGAACCUUGACAACUGCAUAGGUGAGUCUGGAAAGAAAGCAUCUCAUGGAUGUCCAGCGAAAGCUGGAAUUCUAUUGAGUUUAGAGCCGAGACUUUCCAGUGUUCUUCCAAAGCUUUGGCCAAUCCAGCCAAGGUGCGGGAGUUUGAUUCUGGUAUUCAAACCGCAGGCGAGCAAAAGCAAUUAUCCGUAAGGGUGAUGGGCUGGUGGUCGUCAGUA
rnacentral:tRNA from 1 species